CCCGCUGUUAGCGCCUGGCGUUAGCGGCUAAGCGAAAGCAUUAAGCAUCCCACCUGGGGAGUACGCCGGCAACGGUGAAACUCAAAGGAAUUGACGGGGGCCCGCACAAGCGGAGGAACAUGUGGUUUAAUUCGAUGAUACGCGAGGAACCUUACCCGGGCUUGAAUUGCAGACGCAGGAUACAGAGAUGUUGACUCCCUUCGGGGCGUCUGUGAAGGUGCUGCAUGGUUGUCGUCAGCUCGUGCCGUGAGGUGUCGGCUUAAGUGCCAUAACGAGCGCAACCCCUUUCCUUAGUUGCCAUCAGGUCAUGCUGGGCACUCUGGGGAUACUGCCACCGCAAGGUGUGAGGAAGGUGGGGAUGACGUCAAAUCAGCACGGCCCUUACGUCCGGGGCUACACACGUGUUACAAUGGCCGGUACAGAGGGACGGUGCAAUGUAAAUUGCAUCCAAUCUUGAAAGCCGGUCCCAGUUCGGACUGAGGUCUGCAACCCGACCUCACGAAGCUGGAUUCGCUAGUAAUCGCGCAUCAGCCAUGGCGCGGUGAAUACGUUCCCGGGCCUUGUACACACCGCCCGUCAAGCCAUGAAAGCCGGGGGUGCCUGAAGUUCGUAACCGCGAGGAGCGACCUA
rnacentral:rRNA from 1 species